GUGAACGCUGGCGGUAGGCCUAACACAUGCAAGUCGAACGGCAGCACAGUAAGAGCUUGCUCUUACGGGUGGCGAGUGGCGGACGGGUGAGGAAUACAUCGGAAUCUACUUUUUCGUGGGGGAUAACGUAGGGAAACUUACGCUAAUACCGCAUACGACCUACGGGUGAAAGCAGGGGAUCUUCGGACCUUGCGCGAUUGAAUGAGCCGAUGUCGGAUUAGCUAGUUGGCGGGGUAAAGGCCCACCAAGGCGACGAUCCGUAGCUGGUCUGAGAGGAUGAUCAGCCACACUGGAACUGAGACACGGUCCAGACUCCUACGGGAGGCAGCAGUGGGGAAUAUUGGACAAUGGGCGCAAGCCUGAUCCAGCCAUACCGCGUGGGUGAAGAAGGCCUUCGGGUUGUAAAGCCCUUUUGUUGGGAAAGAAAAGCAGCAGGUUAAUACCCCGCUGUUCUGACGGUACCCAAAGAAUAAGCACCGGCUAACAUCGUG
rnacentral:rRNA from 1 species